rnacentral:rRNA from 1 species
UACAGAGGUCUCAAGCGUUGUUCGGAUUCAUUGGGCGUAAAGGGUGCGUAGGCGGCGCGGUAAGUCGGGUGUGAAAUCUCGGAGCUUAACUCCGAAACUGCAUUCGAUACUGCCGUGCUUGAGGACUGGAGAGGAGACUGGAAUUUACGGUGUAGCGGUGAAAUGCGUAGAUAUCUGGAGGAACACCGGUGGCGAAGGCGGCAUUCUGGACCAAUACUGACACUGAGGAGCGAAAGCCAGGGGAGCAAACGGG